UCGAGAAUUUUUCACAAUGGGCGAAAGCCUGAUGGAGCGACGCCGCGUGGGGGAUGAAUGGCUUCGGCCCGUAAACCCCUGUCAUUUGCGAUCAAACCUUGAUAUUUAAAAGAUGUCGAGCUGAUAGUAGCGAAAGAGGAAGGGACGGCUAACUCUGUGCCAGCAGCCGCGGUAAUACAGAGGUCCCGAGCGUUGUUCGGAUUCACUGGGCGUAAAGGGUGCGUAGGUGGUGAGGUAAGUCGGAUGUGAAAGCUCGGAGCUCAACUCCGAAAUGGCAUUGGAAACUACCUUGCUUGAGGAUUGGAGGGGGGACUGGAAUACUUGGUGUAGCAGUGAAAUGCGUAGAUAUCAAGUGGAACACCAGUGGCGAAGGCGAGUCCCUGGACAAAUCCUGACACUGAGGCACGAAAGCUAGGGGAGCAAACAGG
rnacentral:rRNA from 1 species